rnacentral:rRNA from 1 species
GUUGUUGUGGUUAAAAAGCUCGUAGUUGGAUCUCAACAGCCUUGAAGCGGUUAACUUUGUAGUUUUACUGCUUUAUAGGCUGUGCUUUUGCUGGAGGUUUAGGGGUGCUCUUGAUCGAGUGUCUCUGGAUGCCAGCAGGUUUACUUUGAAAAAAUUAGAGUGCUCAAAGCAGGCUAAAAUGCCUGAAUAUUCGUGCAUGGAAUAAUAGAAUAGGAUGUCGAUCCUAUUUUGUUGGUUUUCGGGACUCGACAUAAUGAUAAAUAGGGACAGUCGGGGGCAUUUGUAUUCAAACGACAGAGGUGAAAUUCUUGGACCGUUUGAAGACAAACUACUGCGAAAGCAUUUGCCAAGAAUGUUUUCAUUAAUCAAGAACGAAAGUUAGAGGUUCGAAGGCGAUCAGAUACCGCCCUAGUUCUAACCAUAAACGAUGCCAGCUAGCGAUCUGCCGAGUUUUUUUCGUA